rnacentral:rRNA from 1 species
AUCUAUGGCCAUGCUACCCUGAACAAGCCCGAUCUUGUCUAAUCUUGGGAGCUGAACAGGUUUGGGUCUUGUUAGUACUUCAAUGAGGGAUCUUGUCUAAUCUUGGGAGCUGAACAGGUUUGGGCCUUGUUAGUACUUCGAUGAGAGACCACCUAGAAAGACCAGGUGCUGUAGGUG